GAUGGCGUCCCAUGCAGAGUGCCGUCCUCUGGGAGUGUUUGAGUGUGAACUCCACGCCUUGACAGCUCCCUCCUGCUACUUGGGGCAGAAGCUCCCCCGACACCCAGUGGAUGGUCCUCCUGGAGGAAAGCUAUGUCACAAAGGAUCCCUUCACCUCCGACAAUGUCAGAUUCCUGGUCCUUAGCUGGCGCUGCAGUUUGUGCAGCAGGCUGUGUGGCCAGUGUACUCGGAUGCAGUUUAUUCUACUUCAAGAGAUUCUGCCUCCCUUGUGUCCAUGAGAACAUCAGUGCUUUUCCUCAGGAAAUUCAGCAAGACUUGGAGUAAAGCUCCGUCAAAGAGGCCCCCCAGCCAGCCCGGUUCUCGGACAUUGAGUGCAGCCGGGGCUGGGUCAACUGGCAGCACCCUGCACGGAGCUCCUGGGCCAGCCUGCGCCAAGGAUGCUGCUGAGCCAGGAGCCGCUGUGCCCAGCCUCUUUUCUGGACCACUGCGAGCAGCACUGCAGCCCAGGGGAGCUGGAGUCCAGCUUGUAGCAGCCACAGGCCCAGGGAGCUGUGCCGAAAAGGUAGCCCAAAGGCAGACAGAUGCCAGACCAGACAGAGCCGGGAACCCGGCCAGGUGCCCCCGCAUGACCCUCGGGGCCGAGGCCUAAGUGAGUGCUGCUCAGAUGUGACUAAGAGGGAUGACCUCCUUCAGCGAGAAAGCUCCUAAGAGGCCACCUGCAGGUCCGUGUGGGGGAAGACGCCAUGCUGUCUCGGGACCAUGGCGCAAGGUAGGUGGCUGCAAUGGUCUGUAAGGAAAAUCACUGACAGCAGCUGCCUUCUGGAGCCAAUCUGGAAGGUCUAGAGCGGGAUAGAAUUACUUCCCAUCCUUAUGUGAUGCUUGGAAAAUGGUUUAACCUUGAUCAUGUACUAUGUUUAUAAUUAAAAAUCCAAAGAACCAGCUAAUGUUUGAAAAAGGAAUCUUCCACUGAAACAUCUGGGUACCUGACAUUCUCCCAGGGCACUCUGGACCCGGCAGUGGUUGGGGUCUCCCGGGAAGCUGAGUGCUGGCUUACAGCCUCUCUGUAAGCUCUGGCUUCAUCUCGGGCCCCUCCAAUCUGUCUCCCCUGACCCCAAGUCAGGAAUGCUGUGGGCUUCCUGCCCUCACCCCGCACCUCAUGACCGUCACGCUGCCUGCCUGCUUGCCCCCUGCCACCUCGAAUUCAGUCCUGGAUGCCUUCGAAGCCCAGCCCCACUGCGUGCCAGGGGGUUCCUGCAGCAUCCCCUCCUCCAGGCUCCCCAUCUCCCUGAAGCUUCCAGGUAGCAGUUGGUGGGGCACUGAUCUGUGAGCUCUGGAAUGUCUGCUUAGAUUUCUGAGAGGCAGGAACUGCUGUCUUUGUAAGUACUCAAGGCCAACUGUCACGUGAUGAAGGAAUGAAUAAAGAAUUUUUACUGA
rnacentral:lncRNA from 1 species